ensembl:lncRNA
CCUAACCUAACCUAAUCCCAACCUUAACCCUAAUCCUAACCUAACCUUAACCCCAACCUUAACCCUAAUCCUAACCUAAUCCCAACCUUAACCAUAAUCCUAACCUAAUCCUAACCCUAACACUUGCCCAGUCCUUAACUUUAACCCCGUUCCUAAUCCUAACCCCAGUAGCUAGGAAACAACGUAGACGCUAACAGAGAGAAUGUCAAAGGAAUCCAAACCCUACAAUCAUGUAAACACUCUUACAAAACGGGAUCUCAUUCUACAAUGUAUUUUACAGGAUUGGUUUGUCUUUUCACGAAGCCCUAACAGUUGAAAUGUGUUGUUUUACAAUGGUAAGGUUUUAAAUCUAGUAGCUCCUCUAUAGCUCUACCAACACGGACAAUCUACUAACCUUUACAAAUGAAAAACCCACUGUAUCAAAAUGAACAGCACACAAUAUCUGAGGUAUAAAUAUCCUUCUUUUUAGUUGACUGACUUCCCUCUCUCUUAGGAGCUGCUAAAAUCAUGCUCAACAGCAUAUAUUGCGAUACCCAGGCCUCAAAGUUCUUUCUCUGUCUCUCUCUCUGUCUGUCUCACUCACAUACUGGUUUGUUGGUUGUGUGGUUUGUUGGUUGGUUGGUUGGUUGCUCGGUUGGUUGGUUGCUCGGUUGUGUCCCUGUCAGAAAGGAUUGGAUGUUGUUUGGUUGUGGGGAGGUUGGUUGGUUGGUUGGUAGGGUAGUAAUUGGUUGUUGUAUGGUUUUAGGGAGGUUGGUUGGUGGGUUAGUAUGGGGCGAAGCGGCUGUAACCUCCCCUGUAUAUACUAGCCUGCAGGGAGGACAACACCAGCCCCACGUCGUCAGCAUGACUCCUCGUCUUGGCAUCAGCCAACGGGGCAAACGGAUUCUGAAACACACACGUAACCAUAGAGAUAAUGUAAGCAUUCUGAAACACACACGUAACCAUAGAGAUAAUGUAAGCAUUCUGAAACGCACACGUAACCAUAGAGAUAAUGUAAGCAUUAUGAAACGCACACGUAACCAUGGAGAUAAUGUAAGAAUUCUGAAACGCACACGUAACCAUAGAGAUAAUGUAAGCAUUAUGAAACACACACGUAACCAUAGAGAUAAUGUAAGCAUUCUGAAACGCACACGUAACCAUGGAGAUAAUGUAAGAAUUCUGAAACGCACACGUAACCAUAGAGAUAAUGUAAGCAUUAUGAAACACACACGUAACCAUACAGAUAAUGUAAGCAUUCUGAAACGCACACGUAACCAUAGAGAUAAUGUAAGCAUUUUGAAAUGCACACGUAACCAUAGAGAUAAUGUAAGAAUUCUGAAACGCACACGUAACCAUAGAAAUAAUGUAAGCAUUCUGAAACACAUACGUAACCGUAGAGAUAAUGUAAGCAUUCUGAAACACAUACGUAACCAUAGAGAUAAUGUAAGAAUUCUGAAACACAACAUAGACAAAGUAUAUAUCAGCAAUUUUACAAUCGCAAAGUUUUUUAGCAAAGUCAACCAUUUCCCACAUAUUACGUGAGGGCUUGAAAACCUGAUGGAUGGCCUCAUUAUUUCAGCAAGAAACAGUCAAAUCAUUGCAACGUUAUUGCAUAAAACUGACCCAUCAACGCAGUACGAAAUGAGAACUUGCAAUUUCAACCAAUCACCGCACUUUUACCACAUAACAUGGUUAAAACAAGCCACGCAUCAAAAACCUUUUCCCUCAUCAGCGUAUUUUCACGACAAACUGGACAAAAUCAUUGCAUAUUGCCAGAAUUGUCAGAAUUGCUAAAACAGAAUCGAGCAUUUUUACCUGCAAAUAUCACAGAAAAUCCAAACACAAUCCUGGAGGGACUGAUAUAUAGUAAUGUACUUCUAUAGCAUUCUGAAACAUAGAGACGUCGGAACCAUAGAGACAUCUGUAAAUCAUUCUGAAACACACGCGUAACCAUAGAGAUAAACUGUAAGUAAAUCAUUCUGAAACACACACGUAACCACAGAGAUAAACCGUAUGUAAAUCAUUCUGAAACACACACGUAACCAUAGAGAUAUGCUGUAUGUAAAUCAUUCUGAAACACACGCGUAACCAUAGAGAUAUGCUGUAUGUAAAUCAUUCUGAAACACACAUGUAACCAUAGAGAUAAACUGUAUGUAAAGCAUCUGAAACACACGCGUAACCAUAGAGAUAAACUGUAUGUAAAGCAUCUGAAACACACGCGUAACCAUAGAGAUAAACCGUUUGUAAAGCAUCUGAAACACACACGUAACCAUAGAGAUAAACUGUAUGUAAAGCAUCUGAAACACACAUGUAACCAUAGAGAUAUGCUGUAUGUAAAGCAUCUGAAACACACAUGUAACCAUAGAGAUAUGCUGUAUGUAAAGCAUCUGAAACACACACAUAACCAUAGAGAUAUGCUGUAUGUAAAGCAUCUGAAACACACACGUAACCAUAGAGAUAUGCUGUAUGUAAAGCAUCUGAAACACACGCGUAACCAUAGAGAUAUGCUGUAUGUAAAGCAUCUGAAACACACGCGUAACCAUAGAGAUAUGCUGUAUGUAAAGCAUCUGAAACACACACGUAACCAUAGAGAUAUGCUCUAUGUAAAGCAUCUGAAACACACGUGUAACCAUAGAGAUAUGCUGUAUGUAAAGCAUCUGAAACACACGCGUAACCAUAGAGAUAUGCUGUAUGUAAAGCAUCUGAAACACACGUGUAACCAUAGAGAUAUGCUGUAUGUAAAGCAUCUGAAACACACAUGUAACCAUAGAGAUAUUCUUCUCAUAUAUUGUUUUCUAAUUCUAUGCAAACAACAGCCAUAAAGACAUGUACUGUAUAUGUACUGUAUAUGUUCUGUACAUGUAAAGAUAUGUACUGUAUAUGUAAAGAUAUGUACUGUAUAAGUACUGUAUAUGUAAAGAUAUGUACUGUAUAUGUAAAGAUAUGUACUGUAUAAGUACUGUAUAUGUAAAGAUAUGUACUGUAUAUGUAUUGUAUUUGUAAAGCUAUGUACUGUAUAUGUAUUGUAUAUGUAAAGAUAUGUACUGUAUAUGUAUUGUAUAUGUAAAGAUAUGUACUGUAUAUGUAUUGUAUAUGUAAAGAUAUGUACUGUAUAUGUACUGUAUAUGUAAAGAUAUGUACUGUAUAUGUACUGUAUUUGUAAAGCUAUGUACUGUAUAAGUAAAGAUAUGUACUGUAUAUGUAAAGAUAUGUACUGUAUAUGUAUUGUAUAUGUAAAGAUAUGUACUGUAUAAGUACUGUAUAUGUAAAGAUAUGUACUGUAUAUGUAAAGCUAUGUAAUGUAUACGUACUGUAUAUGUAAAUAUAUGUACUGUAUAUGUACUGUAUAUGUAAAGAUAUGUACUGUAUAUGUAAAGAUAUGUACUGUAUAUGUAAAGAUAUGUACUGUAUAUGUAAAGAUAUGUACUGUAUAUGUAAAGAUAUGUAAAGAUAUGUACUGUAUAUGUACUGUAUAUGUACAGAUAUGUAAAGAUAUGUACUGUAUAUGUACUGUAUAUGUAAAGAUAUGUACUGUAUAUGUACUGUAUAUGUAAAGAUAUGUACUGUAUAUGUAAAGAUAUGUACUGUAUAUGUAA